AACCCUUGAGCAAUGACAAGUACCUGCCAAACACUGUUGUGAAAACCUCUCUCCUGGGAAAACAAAAGUCAUGACAUUUUGAGCACAAUUGUGUGUGGGAUGCAUUCAUCAAUAGAGCUGGAAGCACCAACCACCAUAGGAGAGGAAACUUUUAGUUACAAGCACAUGAAUAAAUAAAAUCAAACUCAACUGGAAUGACGUUCCUGAGGAUGGAGAUACAUUUUUUUGUUGACCCAUCUAAACUUGAACAGCAAGUGAUAAUCAGUCUCCAAUCAGAAAGUCCCAGGACUUAUAGGAGCAGAAAUCAGAAGACUUUACUCCACACACUUCAGGUGGACAUGUGGACAAAGCCAUCGGAGAACAUGACAAAAAUACAGCAAGAGCAGAGACAAGAUCAGAUCAUCCUGGGGGCAGAUGCUGGGCUCUGACCAAUUUGAGAGAGAAAAGGAAAAAGAACCCAGCUACAAGAUGCACAAGUAGCAGGCCACAGCCACCAACAUCAGCAGAGCAAUUGGAGGCCAGGAAGACAAGGACACUUCUGAAGAGACUGAAAAAAGCAGAAGACAGUCCAAGUCACUGCAAGGUUCCAAGGUCUCUUUUUUCAUUACUGUUACAAGUACCAAGUAAGCCAAAAUCCACCCUACUCUUCAAAACCAUCUUGAAGAGUUGCAGGUCAGGGUUGCUGCAUCUGAGCAUGUUUACUCACAAAAGGUGACAGAUGCUCCUCAACUUACAAUGAGAUUACAUCCUGAUAAAUGUGUCAUAAGUUGAAAGUAUCUUAUAAGUCGAAAAUGCAUUUACUACAGCCUAACCCACUGAACAUUGUAGCUUAGGCUAGCCUACCUUAAAACGUGAUCAGGACACUUCCCUCAGCCUACAUUUGGGCAAAAUCACCUAACACGAAGCCUAUUUUAUAAUAGAGCAUUGAAUAGCUCAAAUAAUUUAUUGAAUACUGUACAUUACAUAGAAUUUGUGACAGUUUUACACCAUCAUUAUGUCAAAAAAUCAUUAAGUUGAGCCACCAUAACUCAGGGACUGUCUGUAUUUAUAUUUUUACUUCACACUAAGCUUUGAAACUGAAAUUUUUGCUCCUCAGCAGAUGGGGUUUCUGAGAAAGACCAAAUUAGUUAUAGAGCACUAGCUCCCAAAAAAAAAAAAAAAAAAAAACAGAAGAAGUCAGAGGAGGAGGGCAACAUGGAGCAGAGGAAGAAGGAGAGAAAAAGCAAGAAACCAUUAUCGCUCCCUCAUCUGAACUGCACUGCGAGUAAGCUGGGGCUUCCACCACAGUGUCCUGGAAGCCAUGUUUGCUGCCCAUUUCUGGACUCUCCAGCCACACUGGCCUCCUUUCCCUUUCUCAAACCUGCUGUGGUUCCUGCCACUUCAAGAUAAUCUCUUAACAAUCUAUUCCUUCUGCCUGGAAUGCUCUUCCUCCCACCCAACCCCGCUCUGCCCAGCUAACUCCAUUCUUUGGCCCCUGCAUCACUUUCCCAAGGAAGCCAUUUCUGGACUUCCCUGACCCCUGCCUUCCAUCUUCACUGGCCCAGAGUUCCCUACCCUAUGGUCUCAUUGCUCCCUCCCAGGCACUGCUGCCUCCCAGGACUCUUCCCUGUCGGUAAUAUAGUUCUGUUUGAUUGUUCAGUUAAUUUUGCCUCCCCUGAAGACCAUAAGCCAUGUUGGCAAUGAUGGUUUUGCUCACCAUUGCACCUCCAGUGUCUAAAAACCAUGGGCAGGUCAAUUCAUUUUUGUUGAGUAAAGGAAUUGUUCAAUAAGUGCACAAAUAAAUUCACAUUAAAACUUGUCCAAAAACAAAGGAGUUUUCUUGUGAGAAGCAGCUGCUCAUUCUGGGGCAUUCAAGUGCAGUGAGAUGACAACGAUGACCAUUGGAGAUGCUUUCAAAGUGAUGCCGGCACUAGACAGAUGGCUGGAGUGUGUACCCUUUAAGGACUCACCUAUCUCAGAAGUCAUGUGUGUUUCUGUAUGUGUAAAUGCACAAACAGACUGGAAGGAUAUGUGUUCAGCGUCUUUUCAGACUGUGAAGGUCCCUGCAACCAGAAGGAGAGCUGUCUUCAGGAAAGGAUGAAGGGAACGAGCAUCUGUCUGUGACUCUGGUGGUUGUGCAGGCAGGUCACCUCAAGGUGGAGUGACACUGUGGUGGGACAGGUGGAGCACCAGUGAGGAAGCUCUCAUGGGCCUGAGCCAACUGAAUUAAUUAAGACCAAGAACAGUAAAGGGACCCAGAGGGCAAACUCUGAGAGGCAGUCAUAAGCAGCACCCUCUCCCCAAACUGUAUUACUCAUUCCCACAGAAGUGUGUGUCUGCUUGCCUUUAAUCUGUUCUGACUGUAAGCCAUUUUGAGACAUCCCAGUCCCAAUGAUGGCCACCAUGUUCUGCAUUGAAUAGAUGCUUGACAUACAUCCAAUUAGUAAAAGCGAGUGAACUAA
rnacentral:lncRNA from 10 species